AAAGUAACUGUUGCAUGUAGUCUCCGUUCGCUCGUCCGGUGUUCGUCCUCUGUCCACAUGUAGGGCUUACUGCUGGGCGAAACCGACCCUUUACCAGGUCGGGGCCAGAUGCUCACCCAGACCCCAGGAUUGUUUGUGACACUCUGUAAUCGCCAUGGACACCAUAAAUAUCAGCAACAUUGGAAGUGUCAGCGUUGCAGGUGUAGUGCUCCUCUUGACGAGUGGUUCUUGAUCCCAUCGUCUGUCCCUCAGUUGUUCUGGAGUUGGCUUCGGUCUGCCAACGAAGAAUUUCUGUAGAAAACUCGCACCUAGACUCAGUUUUUGCAGAUAUGCUACUUAUAUCUGGUAUUACUUUUCGCGAUGGUACCCACAGAAUUUCCCAGAUUCAUGAUAUUUAACUGCUGCAUACCCGACCACGGAUACCCUUUAGCAAGCCCUUCCUGUGAUCAGGAGGCCCUGACUGGCCUCCCCCACAGGGGCAUUGUGCUCUAACAUGGCCAUACUGGCCGUAUCGGAAACACAGCCCUUGCUGCUGCAGCGAUCUUUGCUGUCGCAGGCCAACAGCUACGACAAUAGCUGUGACUAGCCUUUCAUUAGUUAAAUGAGCCACCUUGAGCUUAUCUAAGACAUACUGAAUAACUUCUCCCUGGAUAUUAAGCGUACUUCGGCCGGCUCCCGAGGUAUUAAGCGUACUUCGGCCAGCUCGCAGCAAUGCCUUAACAUUGUCAUGCGAUUUCUGCUGCAAGCAGUCAAUGAUCACUGGCCCUUGGGCCGGUACCAGGAGAUCAGACCCCUCUGCAGCAGCUAAAAGCCUGUCUGUAAAGCUUUGAAAGGAUUCAUUCGGGCCCUGGGUAAUAUCUGUGCACGGAGUAGGUGGUUCGGCCUUAUGCACAAGUUUAUUAAACGCUUCCACCACUGCAUCUGUGGCUGCUAUUAGCUCCCCUGGCCUUAGUCUCGCUAGCUGGCCCUGGGGCGAAGCCACUCCCACGGCCUUCCCUGAAAGCCGCUGUAUUCCGGUCCCAUGCAGGGAGCGGCGCGGGCCGACCCCUGUCGCCCCGGCACGGCCCCCCAACUCGGCCACCCAGUCCGUCUCCCAUAACGUAUAUUGAACCAGCCUGAGCACCAUACGCAUUAAGUUUGUGAUGUCACGGGGGAAGAGAGGCCCCAGUGCAGCCAAAGUUUGUAGUGCAUUUAAUGUCAGAGGCGAUUUCAGGCCUCUUUUAUCCAUAAAUUCCACCAGGCGCGUAACACCCCCGGGGUCAGGCGGCACCCAUUCGGGACCACGAUCACUCACAAUCACCUGGAAUGCCUCUGGAACUAUACCCUUUCCCAAAGCCUCCGAUCUAAUCCCAUUCCAGUCCGUCAUUUGAUCCCUCCCCCUGCACUCAAAGCCAGUCCCUUCUUUCUCUUCUACACUAUCACUCGCACUACCGCCCCUGGGAGUGACCAGAGACAGUAGGCUAUGCCCCCUGUCCGCAUUGGACGGACCUUUUGUCUGGUCCCUCCCCAUGUGGGCACUAAGUUGAUCCUGCCCAUGUAGAUCACAGCUUCCUCCGCCCCCUUGAGUCAGGUAACACUGACGUAAUUCUGAUAAAGGAUACAACGUUCCGCCUGAGGGGUUCGGAUACGGGGGAGGGGGACGAGACAACAAACUUUCACUCUCUUGUUGUUUGUCUUCUUUUGAACUGAGCGCGGUCGGCUCAGCCGGCACCAUCCCGCCAACGGUCAUUGGCGGCUCCGUCUCCUCUCGGCCCCUGCAAGAAACUGCUCCCGAACCCCCAUCGGACCCGACCGGGUCCUGUGUCUCACCUCCUCCGCUGAGACCCAAAAGGGAGAGGCCUGUCCCGUACAUCCCGUGCCCCCGCAAGACGCCUACUACAACA
ensembl:lncRNA